rnacentral:tRNA from 1 species
GGCAUUGUGGCUGAGUAGUAAAGCACUUGGCUUCCGAACUGAGGGUUCCGGGUUCAAAUCCUGGUGAAGACU